rnacentral:tRNA from 1 species
CAAGGCAUAGCUACAAUACAAAGCACUCAGCUUACACCUGAAAGACGUCUGUGACUAAUCAGACUGCCUUGA